CUACCCAAUCUCAAAACCAGCCUCAAAUGAAGCACAAAUUGAGAUGUAUCCUAUUGAAAUCAUUACUUUAUUGGUGACAUGAAUAUUUAUUGAGUGAUUUCUCUGGGCCAACACCCUGCAGGUACUAGGGAUUAGCAGUAAAUAACUAAACACAGCCUCUCUCCUAAGUGUUUCAGAGCAACAGGGAAAGCUAAUCUGAAACAAAUAGAAAAGCAAUUGGAUUGCAAUUGACUCUAGUGUUCCCUGAGAAACCGAUGAAUUCUACAGAAUGGCUAUAAAAUCUGUCUCUACUCAUCUUCUUCUAUGCAUCAUCCCCUAAUGGCAAGAACCUCUGACAGUUUUACAGACUUUUGUUGCAAGUUUCCUGACAACAUCACCUUUGAGGAAAGGGGACUAACUGAGCCACUAUUUAUAGGAAUCCAUGGAUGAGAUCUGGGAUCACGAACAAAGUCUUUGUGUAUAGAUAUGACCAACCAGGCUGGUCACUGCUUAUACCCAGGCAAUCAGUGAGUGCAAUUCCAGGAUUGGUGGCUCAACUCUCUACUUCUCAGUCAGGGAAGUUCAGAAUAAUAUUGUCUUCAAGAUCUCCAAAGGAGAGCUCUCUAGAAAAUCACCUGUAGAGUGGAAUUCUUGCUGGAUACAAGCCAUAAGUCAUCAUUGAAUGCAUGUGGCGAAGGCUACCAAGUUGACUGGCAUCUACAAAACCCUUUCUGAUUGGGCCCUAGUGUUUGAGGGGUAGGAUCUAAGAAUCAUCUCUGAUGACUAUGUCUUUAAUAAAUGCAGACAUCCAGAAAGUGAAGGUGAAUAUCAAGAAUGUGUUUCAAUAUUGCAACAUGUGGCCUCUGGCAUUUUCAGUGCUCAAAGUCAAUCUGUGAAUGUUAAGCUCUUAAUAACCCAUAAAUUUUGUCUAGAAAGAGCCCUAAAGACCUUUGGGAAAUUCAUAAAGGAUUUAAAGCUAAAAUCCAUGCCCAAGUGCAACUCCAAUAGCCAAAAU
rnacentral:lncRNA from 10 species